UGGAUUUUCCCGAACCCUUUUCCUCACGUGCGGCGUCGGCGAUUUCUGCUUGGGCGAAAUCACAGCCGAAGCUAGGGCACCUCCGGCGGCCGGCGAGGGGCUAACGUCGAGAGCUCUUCACCAUUUCGGGAUUCCCUCGUCAAGAAGAAGGCUGUGAGCACGAAGAGGAAGAAAAAAAAAUCGCCAGCAACCGAACCCUAGAUCUCUUUUCCUUCGGCUGUAAGUCCAAGAAUUCGUGAGAGUGCUGGAGCAUUGUGACAAUCCUAAUACUCAACAGAUUGUCAUGGGUGAGAUUCUACGUUCUGUUUCCAUGUUGACACAAGACCAAGAUGGUAAUUAUGUUGUUCAGAAGUUAUCAGUUUCCUGAAGUUAUCAGUUCUAUUCCCAUGCAUUUCUUCAAACUAUUGUAAUUGGAUAUAUUGCCUUUGGUCUAUUGUGUUUUCCUCUACCUUUGUUUAUCUAUUUAAGGUUUAUCGUAUCGUUGUGUAAGGAAACCCAAGGAGUGUUUCAAGAAAUACUAUCGUCUUGUUGUGAAUUUAA